GUGAGGAAUAUUGGUCAAUGGGCGCAAGCCUGAACCAGCCAUCCCGCGUGCAGGAAGAAGGCGCUAUGCGUCGUAAACUGCUUUUCCGGAGGAAGAAAACCCCUGACGUGUCGGGGCUUGCCGGUACUCUGGGAAUAAGCAUCGGCUAACUCCGUGCCAGCAGCCGCGGUAAUACGGAGGAUGCGAGCGUUAUCCGGAUUUAUUGGGUUUAAAGGGUGCGUAGGCGGAUUAAUAAGUCAGUGGUGAAAACCUUCAGCUUAACUGGAGACUUGCCAUUGAUACUGUUAUUCUUGAGUACGGUCAAGGUAGGCGGAAUGUGUAAUGUAGCGGUGAAAUGCUUAGAUAUUACACAGAACACCGAUUGCGAAGGCAGCUUACUGGGCCAUUACUGACGCUGAUGCACGAAAGCGUGGGGAGCGAACAGGAUUAGAAACCCCGGUAGUCC
rnacentral:rRNA from 1 species